rnacentral:rRNA from 1 species
UACGUAGGGGGCAAGCGUUGUCCGGAAUCAUUGGGCGUAAAGCGCGUGUAGGCGGUCCGGUAAGUCCGCUGUGAAAGUCGGGGGCUCAACCCUCGGAUGCCGGUGGAUACUGUCGGGCUUGAGUACGGAAGAGGCGAGUGGAAUUCCUGGUGUAGCGGUGAAAUGCGCAGAUAUCGGGAGGAACACCAGUGGCGAAGGCGACUACCUGGCCUGUUCUUGACGCUGAGGCGCGAAAGCUAGGGGAGCAAACGGG